CAAAGUGUUUUUUAUAACUUUAAAAAUUGUUUUAUGUAUCUCCCACUAAAAAUAGUUGGUAGGAAUGUAACGAAUGAAAUGUAAUCCUUUUCUAUAUUUCUCUCUCUCAUAUGUCAUUGUUUUAACUUACUACGAUUUGCUUCCUACACUCACAUACACACUUAAAGAAUUAAGUACUAUCCUAAAACAGAAAGAAACCAAAGCUACAGCAAGUGCAUGCACCGCCUAUUAAUAUCUAUUUAUUUCCAUAUUAACAUGGUAUCAAUAAAUUUAGAAAACAUUAUAUGCUAACAGGGAAUGGUAAUUUUCAUCAUAUAAAGUAAGUACUUAAUCAAUCCUUAUAUCUUAAUCACAAUUUGGAAUAGACAUUAAUCUGGUCUAGCAAUAAGUUGGGCAUUUUGUUUUGCAAAACAAAAAAAGGCAGAGUCAGGUGUUCAUCACGGAGGCAUCCAUCAGGUGAAGAGAAACUGCUGGCUGUCGCCACCCUCCAUGCUGCUGUCCUGCUUCGGUAUUAGAAUGGUUGUGGGGAUCUUGGCCGCAUUUCCAGGGACUGUGUUUCCGUCCCCUCCCGACCCUGCGGCAAAGUGUGACCACGUGACUCGCCCUCCCCAGUGGAGCAUGCGCAGAAAUGUUGGGAGCAGCUUCCGGUUCACCUGCGUGAGAGGGAAUCUCUGGCCUUAGACGCAGUUCUUUCCACCUUUCUGUCUGUCUGUUUUGGCCGCAACUUGGACAGCCUUGGAAGCCAUGUGUUGAAGGACUGCCGUUUUUCAGCCUGGAAGCGGGGGCAAACCCACCUGGCAUUCCCAAACUGGCCAUGGGAUGCGCGAGACAUAAAGACAUUUUUCAUCAAUCCUUGAGUCCCUUCUUUUUUUCCUCUUCUAACUAUGUUGCCUUUUAGUCUCUUUCUCUGUACGAUCCCCUCUAACACCACUGCUUGAGGUGGGGACCUCCUCAUUUUUUCACCUAGACUAUUGUUACGGGCUCUGAUCUGGCCCCACCUCUUUGGCACCUUUCUCUUCAAAUCCCCCCUCUGUGUGGCAGCUGGUGAGCUCCCUGAAAUGACAGUCUGAUGCGGUCACUUCCAAGCUAAGGACCACGGCAUUUGCUCAGCAGUUCUUUUACAGAGAAACUAAUGUCCACAGAAUAUCAAGAAACCAAAGCUUCCCGGGCCCAACUGCUCGGCUUCCUGACAUCAGAGUCUACCUUCCACCAUGGAGAUAAACAGUCAAGGACACUCAUCUGAGAAAUCCUUUGUCUCCGCUGGAAGCAGCCCCAGAUGCAGGCAUAUGGGAAAAUGCCAACCAAGAAGAGCAUAGCCCCCUUCCCCUACCUAAAACCCCAAAUAAAAACUCCUACCUGUUUCUUAACGGAAAGCAAGCAAGUUUUGGGGCACUAGCCCUUGCUUUGCUCCCUCUGCCUGGCAAAAUAAAGCUUCCCUUUUUCUCCCAAAA